rnacentral:rRNA from 1 species
ACGGAAGGCAGCAGUGGGGAAUAUUGGGCAAUGGGCGAAAGCCUGACCCAGCAACGCCGCGUGAAGGAAGACGGCCUUCGGGUUGUAAACUUCUUUUACCAGGGACGAAGGACGUGACGGUACCUGGAGAAAAAGCAACGGCUAACUACGUGCCAGCAGCCGCGGUAAUACGUAGGUUGCAAGCGUUCUCCGGAUUUACUGGGUGUAAAGGGCGUGUAGGCGGAGAGGCAAGUCAGAUGUGAAAUCCCGGGGCUCAACCCCGGAACUGCAUUUGAAACUGUCGGCCUUGAGUAUCGGAGAGGCAAGCGGAAUUCCUAGUGUAGCGGUGAAAUGCGUAGAUAUUAGGAGGAACACCAGUGGCGAAAGCGGCUCUCUGGUCUGUAACUGACGCUGAGGCUCGAAAGCGUGGGGAGCAAACAGGAUUAGAUACCCUGGUA